rnacentral:rRNA from 1 species
GACGAACGCUGGCGGCAUGCUUAACACAUGCAAGUCGAACGGAAAGGCCCUGCUUUUGUGGGGUGCUCGAGUGGCGAACGGGUGAGUAACACGUGAGUAACCUGCCCUUGACUUUGGGAUAACUUCAGGAAACUGGGGCUAAUACCGGAUAGGAGCUCCUGCUGCAUGGUGGGGGUUGGAAAGUUUCGGCGGUUGGGGAUGGACUCGCGGCUUAUCAGCUUGUUGGUGGGGUAGUGGCUUACCAAGGCUUUGACGGGUAGCCGGCCUGAGAGGGUGACCGGCCACAUUGGGACUGAGAUACGGCCCAGACUCCUACGGGAGGCAGCAGUGGGGAAUAUUGCACAAUGGGCGGAAGCCUGAGGCAGCAACGCCGCGUGCGGGAUGACGGCCUUCGGGUUGUAAACCGCUUUCGCCUGUGACGAAGCGUGAGGGACGGUAAUGGGUAAAGAAGCACCGGCUAACUACGG